rnacentral:rRNA from 1 species
AACGAACGCUGGCGGCAUGCCUAACACAUGCAAGUCGAACGAGACCUUCGGGUCUAGUGGCGCACGGGUGCGUAACGCGUGGGAAUCUGCCCUUCGGUUGGGAAUAACAUAGAGAUAUUUGUGCUAAUACCUUAUAAUGUCUUCGGACCAAAGAUUUAUCGCCGAGGGAUGAGCCCGCGUAGGAUUAGCUAGUUGGUGGGGUAAUGGCCUACCAAGGCGACGAUCCUUAGCUGGUCUGAGAGGAUGAUCAGCCACACUGGGACUGAGACACGGCCCAGACUCCUACGGGAGGCAGCAGUGGGGAAUAUUGGACAAUGGGCGAAAGCCUGAUCCAGCAAUGCCGCGUGAGUGAUGAAGGCCUUAGGGUUGUAAAGCUCUUUUACCCGGGAUGAUAAUGACAGUACCGGGAGAAUAAGCUCCGGCUAACUCCGUGCCAGCAGCCGCCGUAA